AUGUGGUAUGCUCCUAUAAUACCAUGGUUGAAACGUCUGUUCAGAAACGAAGAGCAUGGCAAGUUGAUGCGAUGGCACAGUGAGGACCGUAAGAAAGACGGGAAGUUGAGAGCACCCGCUGACGGGUCGCAGUGGAGAAAAAUCAAGAGAAAGUACUGGGCUGAGUUUGCAGCUGACCCAAGGAACGUAUGGUGUGGUUUAAGCGCAGAUGGCAUUAAUCCUUUCGGGGAGCAGAGCAGCAAUCACAACACCUGGCCCGUGACUCUAUGUAUGUAUAACCUUCCUCCUUGGAUGUGCAUGAAGCGGAAGUUCAUUAUGAUGCCAGUUCUCAUCCAAGGCCCUAAGCAACCCGGCAACGACAUUGAUGUGUACCUAAGGCCAUUAGUUGAAGAACUUUUACAGCUGUGGAAUGGAAACUGUGUACGUACGUGGGAUGAGCACAAACAGGAGGAAUUUAACCUGCACGCGUUGCUGUUUGUAACCAUCAACGAUUGGCCCGCUCUCAGUAACCUUUCAGGACAGACAAACAAGGGAUACCACGCAUGCACGCACUGUUUAGAUGACACUGAAAGUAUAUACCUGGACAAAAGCAGGAAGAAUGUGUACCUGGGCCAUCGUUGA
rnacentral:rRNA from 1 species